rnacentral:rRNA from 1 species
GGGGACCGCAAGGCCUGGCGCUAACAGAUGAGCCCAAGUCGGAUUAGCUAGUUGGUAGGGUAAUGUCCUACCAAGGCGACGAUCCGUAACUGGUCUGAGAGGACGACCAGUCACACCGGAACUGAGACACGGUCCGGACUCCUACGGGAGGCAGCAGUGGGGAAUAUUGGACAAUGGGGGAAACCCUGAUCCAGCGACGCCGCGUGGGUGAAGAAGGCCUGCGGGUUGUAAAGCCCUUUCGGUUGGGAAGAAAAGUUGCGACCUAACACGUCGCGACCUUGACGUAACCAACUAAAGAAGCACCGGCUAACUCUGUGCCAGCAGCCGCGGUAAUACAGAGGGUGCGAGCGUUAAUCGGAAUUACUGGGCGUAAAGCGCGCGUAGGCGGCUUUUCAAGUCGAUUGUGAAAUCCCCGGGCUUAACCUGGGAACUGCAGUCGAGACUGUCUAGCUAGAGUAUGGGAGAGGGAAGUGGAAUUUCAGGUGUAGCGGUGAAAUGCGUAGAUAUCUGAAGGAACAUCAGUGGCGAAAGCGACUUCCUGGACCAAUACUGACGCUCAUGUGCGAAAGCGUGUGGAGCAAACAGGAUUAGAUACCCUGGUAGUCCACGCCAUAAACGAUGAGAACUGGAUGUCGGAGGGGUCUGCCCUUCGGUGUCGUAGCUAACGCGUUAAGUUCUCCGCCUGGGGAGUACGGCCGCAAGGUUGAAACACAAAGGAAUUGACGGGGACCCGCACAAGCGGUGGAGCAUGUGGUUUAAUUCGAUGCAACGCGAAGAACCUUACCUGGUCUUGACAUCCUAGGAACCUCGCAGAGAUGUGGGGGUGCCUUCGGGAACCUGGAGACAGGUGCUGCAUGGCUGUCGUCAGCUCGUGUCGUGAGAUGUUGGGUUAAGUCCCGCAACGAGCGCAACCCUUGCCCUUAGUUGCCAGCAUUAAGUUGGGAACUCUAAGGGGACCGCCGGUGACAAACCGGAGGAAGGUGGGGAUGACGUCAAGUCAUCAUGGCCCUUAUGACCAGGGCUACACACGUGCUACAAUGGCCAGUACAAAGGGUUGCCAACCCGCGAGGGGGGAGCCAAUCCUAUAAAGCUGGUCGUAGUCCGGAUCGCAGUCUGCAACUCGGCUGCGUGAAGUCGGAAUCGCUAGUAAUCGUGAAUCAGCGAUGUCACGGUGAAUACGUUCCCGGGUCUUGUACACACCGCCCGUCACACCAUGGGAGUUGAUUGCACCAGAAGUAGGUAGCCUAACCGCAAGGAGGGCGCUUACCACGGUGUGGUCAAUGACUGGGGUGAAGUCGUAACAAGGUA